rnacentral:rRNA from 1 species
AUGAACGCUAGCGGCAGGCCUAAUACAUGCAAGUCGAACGGGAUCCAGAUCAAAGCUUGCUUUGGUCUGGUGAGAGUGGCGCACGGGUGCGUAACGCGUGAGCAACCUACCCUUGUCAGGGGGAUAGCCCGGCGAAAGUCGGAUUAAUACCGCAUGACAUCAUUGAGAGGCAUCUUUCGAUGAUCAAAGAUUUAUCGGACAAGGAUGGGCUCGCGUGACAUUAGCUAGUUGGUAAGGUAACGGCUUACCAAGGCUGCGAUGUCUAGGGGCUCUGAGAGGAGAAUCCCCCACACUGGUACUGAGACACGGACCAGACUCCUACGGGAGGCAGCAGUAAGGAAUAGUGGUCAAUGGACGGAAGUCUGAACCAGCCAUGCCGCGUGCAGGAAGACGGCCCUAUGGGUUGUAAACUGCUUUUAUACGGGAACAAACGUCGGUACGUGUACCGGUCUGAGUGUACCGUAAGAAUAAGGAUCGGCUAACUCCGUG